rnacentral:tRNA from 1 species
AUGCAAUCAGCUGAACAAGUUUUUGGAAUCCUGCAGCACAUAUGCAGUUAUCUCAUGUUGACAAUUGUGGAGAAGGUCACUUCCUUCCAGUAUUCUGAUCACUCAGAGCUUGCCUGCUGCUGCUGGUGGCAGAACCCUCAGAGUGCACCAAUAGGAUACUGCUCCAAGAAGAAAUAGUAAUCAGAGGAAUUUGGAUAAGAGGUUGUCCAUUGGAAAGAAAUGAAGAAAACAAGUCACUACACAUAAAGAGGCACAUGUCUGCACAUUUUUGUACUUACCAAUUGGGAGGAAGAUAAAGUUUAAUCUUAACCUCUUCGAGGGCACUUUCAACUCAAUGGCCAGUAAGCAGACUUUGACGAGAGGCUAUAACUUUUUGACGCCUGAGGGCAAAAGUUAGCUGCCCCCUCUGAGGUUCGAACUCAGGACCUUCAGAUUAUGAGACUGACGCGCUGCCUACUGCGCUAAGGAGGCAGAUGGCGACACUUGCUCAUUAAAUAUCUUUAACACUGGAUUUUACUUUGCUUAAAUUUUGGUCUUGCUGUAUAUUUCCCUCGCUUUAAAAUUUGGAAAUGAAAAGCUGUUCUGCACAAGUGCAACAGCUUCUACAACCUGCGUCAGAUGAAGAUUGUCGCUAUUGAUCUCGCUCGUUCUGCAUUGAUGACCUCCACUUCUCACAACCGAAGGAAAAUUUCCUUAACGUCUUGCCCAGAAACCUGCACUAAAACUACACCGGCGUCCAUCUCUGUGGUCUCUAGAGAAGAGGAAAACUGCCCACUUCCUUUCUCAUGAUCCCUCUUUCCUUCAAUACUCGAUUCUUCUGCAUCAGUAUUUUGAACACUUUUAAGUGUUUACUGUCUUAAACAUUUCCUUUGAUUCGGCGCCUUGGUCUCAAGCCGUCGCUCUAUAUCGUUUGCUCCUUCGCAGGCAAAUUUCCCAGAAAGCGGUUCGUCCUCAUUUUUAAACACCUCCCCCAGUCCCAUCAGUUUUUCAACGGACUACAAUCUUC